CACCACUUCCGGACGCCAUUGUCUGUCGCACGAUUCUCAGAAGCCUCGGUUGCAUUCUCUAAUUUAUAUUCCAGCAACAAUUUUUCCGAUUCAAGUACAAGAUGUUCAAUGUUUCUUGGUUAUGUCGCGUUUCCAGCAAACGGAUGACACGAAUUGCAGUAACGAGCAAAAUUUGGCUCGAUCGACAAAUCAGAUAAGAAUUCACACGAUCCUAGUCGACAACGUCAUCCCAUUACGCUUCCAUGGUAAACGAUGUUUGCGCAAGUACGAAUUUUGCAACUUGCUGCCUACGUGUUUUCUCCGGAUACCGACCGAUCUCUCGCUACGGUCUCGUCGCUUUGCGCAUUCCGUGACUCCCUGAGACGCUCCAACGCUAAUGUGGAAACCUCCAGGGUAUUUAAGUCUUACCAGAGAAUGUGGCUUGAGAGGAAAAGACAAGAAAAAAAGAAAGGAAGAAGAAAGAGAUCUUGUCGCUACACGGCGAAUGCAUUCAGUGUCGUGAAGUAUUAUUAUCGUUUGCGCUGCGAUAUUCUUGGUGGCAUUUCGCGGUAGAAUUUCGGGGGUUUUACCAACGAAAUUCAGGGGAAAUUAUGGUGGUGUUUCUAGUAUCCGUCGCUAGAGUGACUUUUGGCAGUUUUAUUCUAGUGAUUUGUUGCCUACCUAUUGAUUUGAUUGUUUCUUUUUCUCUCGUUGAUUUGACUGGCUGUUGUUUUCCUUUCUCUCUUCUAUUUCUUUACGUUACUUGUCCGGGAUUUAAAAGUGUUUGUUGUUGAACUAUGAACGAACGGACACAAUGGCGACGCUUCGGUGGAAAGGUUUUGAAAUACGCGUCACGCUGUUUUUCCCGUUACGGACGCGAACACUAUCGACCGAAUUCUUUCGUGAUGAUUGGCACGGAACAAUUAAAAGCUUACUGGACGUGUUUCAGUGCAAAGUGUUAUACGAUGUUUUACAAAAUAUCGCAAAUUAAAAGAAGACUACGAAAGAAAUUAGUUAAAUGGAGUGUUCACUAUAUUUAUAUAGUCCUUUGCUACCAUUUCAUUUAUUAAUAAAAGAAAAUAGACGAAAGAUCGUAGAAACAACA